GCCACAGCGUCUCCUAGAGGAAGAGCGAGAAAGGGCAAGAGUCACGCUCCGGAGUUUUCUUCACCUGAGCGAGUCACGUAGGAAAGGGAGCCAUCUGCGGCUUCCGGGUAGUUUACAGGAAGGGGUGGUGGAGCAAAGGAAGGCAGCGGUGUGUGACCUCGGAGGAAGGUCCGGCAGCACGGCCUAUGGAGUGGGAGGAGGAGAAGGAUGGCCGGCAGCAUCGUGAGCCGUCCGCAGGUGCAAGAAAAGUCCCGGAGCUUCGGUGGUCUACCCAGUGGGGAGGCGGCGCCGCUCCGGGCGUCCUGGCCUCCCAGUGUCGCCUCCCUGAGGGGCCUCCAUGGCCCGGGCUCCUCGACCGGUGCUCUGGAGGCCAGGGCUGGGGGCGGGUGGGGGGCGGAGGCGGCCCGAGCGCAGGGGCGGUGCCUCUCGCCAACUUCGGAGUUGUUUUCCCCGGCUGCCGCCUCGCUCUCUCCCGAGGCCGGCCCCCGAACCCCCGGAAAUCGGCUGAAAGACCGGCGCUGGGGCGCGCCCUCGCCUAGAGCCGGUCCGCAGGCCGCAAGCGCCCCGGUCCAGGCCUGGCCGCCACCUGCUGGGGCUUGAGGCCACUUCCUCUUUGGGCCAAACUUUACCGACUGUCAGCCCCCAGGGCCGGCCCGGGCGCUGCUCAACUUCUCCAGCGCGUCCAGCCCGCGGAACGCGGCAGGGGAGCGGGGAAGGAGGACAGGCGGCUCGGCACAACGCCCAAUCCCUCGCUCAGUCUGUACCCCCGCCAGCCCAGGGGUUGGAGGAGCCCGGGCGGAGGAGGGGGCGGGUGACGAGCCUGGCCCCACCCCUGCCAAUCAACGCACUCUCCGCCCACCCGACCGUCUUAACGCCUUUCCGGUCGUGCAGGGUCUUGUCACUUGGGCUUUGAAGGCGCUCAGCUUCCACUUUUAACUCUGCUUUGUUUAGUCCUUUCCGUGUAACGUUAGUUACAGGACACGUCUGUCAAAGGGCAACUGCUUAUUCCGUAACUGUCAUGUCUUUCCUUUGAAUCCUUAAGCUCUCAGUACUUUUCUUGUCCCAGUGUCUGGGAUGCGGUAGCACUUUUCUCGAUGAGCCUCUAUUAUAGCAAUUACCACACGGUGUUGUAACUAUUUGUUUACUCUUUCCCGCCCCUGCCCCUCCCCUGCUGUGGAAACUGAAACUUCCUGUAGGCUGGGGCCUAGACUGUUUACCUUUGUACCCACAAGGCUUCUCUCCUGCUGAGACACUGUAAUUCAAUAAAGGAAUAAAUGUGCCUUCCCUUCUUGCUGGC